CCACUGCUGAGCAGUCCCAAAACAGGACGAAACGGCCGUCCAGUGU
rfam:Schistosoma haematobium scaffold352_93, whole genome shotgun sequence.